rnacentral:rRNA from 1 species
UACGAAGGGGGCUAGCGUUGCUCGGAAUCACUGGGCGUAAAGCGCACGUAGGCGGCUUUUUAAGUCAGGGGUGAAAUCCUGGAGCUCAACUCCAGAACUGCCUUUGAUACUGGCGAUCUCGAGUCCGGGAGAGGUGAGUGGAACUGCGAGUGUAGAGGUGAAAUUCGUAGAUAUUCGCAAGAACACCAGUGGCGAAGGCGGCUCACUGGCCCGGUACUGACGCUGAGGUGCGAAAGCCAGGGGAGCAAACGGG